ACUCUUCGGAGGCGUUACACAGGUGCUGCAUGGCCGUCGUCAGCUCGUGUCGUGAGAUGUUUGGUUAAGUCCAGCAACGAGCGCAACCCCUGUUGCCAGUUACCGGCACGUGAAGGUGGGGACUCUGGCGAGACUGCCCAGAUCAACUGGGAGGAAGGUGGGGACGACGUCAGGUCAGUAUGGCCCUUAUGCCCAGGGCUGCACACGUACUACAAUGCCCAGUACAGAGGGGGCCGAAGCCGCGAGGCGGAGGAAAUCCUAAAAACUGGGCCCAGUUCGGACUGUAGGCUGCAACCCGCCUACACGAAGCCGGAAUCGCUAGUAAUGGCGCAUCAGCUACGGCGCCGUGAAUACGUUCCCGGGUCUUGUACACACCGCCCGUCACAUCAUGGAAGCCGGUCGCACCCGAAGUAUCUGAAGCCAACCGCAAGGAGGCAGGGUCCUAAGGUGAGACUGGUAACUGGGAUGAAGUCGUAACAAGGUAGCCGUAGGGGAACCUGCGGCUGGAUCACCUC
rnacentral:rRNA from 1 species